CCCGGCCAGCUGGAAGGACAGCCUGUACCAACAGAGGCUUCCAAGGCGCUCCCUAAAUCCCGUUUCCUCUCCGGAAGAGUGACGGUGGCAGCACGGGGCUGGAGGCUACCCAGGGGACCCUCCAAGAACUGUCUACCGGGAGAAAGCAUAAUGGUCUACCUGUCUAAGGGAACAUGGUGAAUUUAGGAAAAAGAGACUGCAGCAGACUGAGGAAAGCAGGAAGGCUUCUAAAAACAGGUUGGCUGCAAUUCUUCCCCACGUCGUCUUCAUUCUGGAACCCAAACAAGGGGCAGACCCAAUCUGAGACAUGCUGGUCUUGUGGCAAAGGAAGGAAAUGAGAGAUGGAAGAACCAGAUGACAGAUCCAAACAUUUCUGCAAGAAAUGGCUCACAUCAAUCCCACUCACAUGUGAUUGGCCAAAGCAAGUCAUGUGGGCAAGAAAGGUCUGUGGGUGGGGAAUAGAAGGCUUUUACAGCAAAUCGUUGCAAACCAUAAUACAAUCUAGCACAAUUUAUUUAUACACCUUUUAUAAUGGGAUGGAGGGGGGGUGCCCUCUGAGGUCUCCUCUCUAGAUUUGGUAAGAAUCUUUGGCCUCUGAAUCCUGAUCAGCUUCUCGUCAGAGGCCCCUCCCUUUGGGCCAUCCAAUCCUGACUUUUUUUUUUUUUAAGAUUUUUAUUUUUAAGUAAUCUCUACCCUCAAGGUGGGGCUCAAACCCACAGCCCCGAGAUCAAGAGCCAUAUGCUCCCCGGAUUGAGCCAGCCAGGCGCCCCUAAUCCUGACCACUAACAGCUUUCCGGGGGCCCAGGUGGGAGAGCCUCCGUGGAUUGAUUUCUUUGUUCCUGCUGUUUGGCGUCCUGUGAUAGGGUAGCUGCCCUAGCUCUCAGCUCAGACCCACUGGGAAAUGUCUCUGGAAGCCUCUUCAGACCCGUCGUCACCCCCGGGAGCCACGCCCCCUCUUACCUUCUAGGUUCUGCGCGCUGCCCAGCUCCAAAAGGCUGCCGGGACACGUGCAAGGCCAUGGUGUCGGUUGGGUUCCAAGAGCUAUUUUCUCACAUCCUGGACUUACUGUUUCGUGACCAAAACACCUAGUUGUGCUAAUUUCCAGAAACUCCCAGAUUCAAUUCUCUCUGACUCUGCAUGCUAGAAACCUAAGGGAAGGAGGCCUACUGUGCACGCCUGAAUGCGGAGGUUCUGCCACUUGACUGAGUCUAAGAAGCCCUCAGGAGGCUUAUUAAAAGGCAGCUUCCUGAUACUCGGGCAUUAAAAGGCAGACGGUUUGGGACUGGGCCUAGGAAUCUGCAUUCAACAAUCUCUCUAGGCAACUGACACCUGAGGGAGUUUGCAAUGUCCCGGUUCUGAUGGUCUCCACAACAGGCCUGGGCAGGAUCCAGGGCAAGGGCCCCUGCAAGGAAGUGGCCCCCCAGCACAGAAGGCCUUUGAGGGACUGACUGUAUGGUCAGAAGACAUCUUGGGCCAGGGAGUGAGUAUUCUCUUUCCUCCGUCACACUUCUCAAGAGCAGUCACUAAAACUCAAAUCACCAAAUCCAAAGGCUUCCUCAGAGAGUUCAGACAGCUCCACAGCUGUCAGGUGUCCCAGUUCUAGCGCCUUCCGGCAGGGCUGCUCUGUAAUCCUGAUUCUACAUGAAUUGUCUAUUUCCUUUUCCACUUCUUUUACUGCUUCCCAGUCUAGAAAUCCACAAGACUUUUCCUGGGUCAGCUUUUAAAAAAUUGUAAUAGAUUUUUUUUUUCUUAACGGUAAAAGUAAUGCAACUUACCGUGGAAAGUUUAGCAAAUGUAGUAAAGCAAAAAUAAGAAAACAAAGACCAUCCAUAACACUGACGUCCAAAGGUUAGCUAUGUGGGAUUAUCUCUUUCUCUCCUUGUAUACUCAUAUAUUUUUAUUAAAAAUGAGAUCACACUGUA